rnacentral:rRNA from 1 species
UACGUAGGGUGCAAGCGUUGUCCGGAAUUAUUGGGCGUAAAGAGCUCGUAGGCGGUCUGUCGCGUCUGCUGUGAAAACUCGGGGCUUAACCCCGGGCCUGCAGUGGGUACGGGCGGACUAGAGUGCGGUAGGGGAGACUGGAAUUCCUGGUGUAGCGGUGAAAUGCGCAGAUAUCAGGAGGAACACCGGUGGCGAAGGCGGGUCUCCGGGCCGUAACUGACGCUGAGGAGCGAAAGCAUGGGGAGCGAACAGG